GAUGAACGCGGCGGCGUGCCUAAUACAUGCAAGUAGAACGCUGAAGCUUGGUGCUUGCACCGAGCGGAUGAGUUGCGAACGGGUGAGUAACGCGUAGGUAACCUGCCUCUUAGCGGGGGAUAACUAUUGGAAACGAUAGCUAAUACCGCAUAAAAGUCGAUAUCGCAUGAUAUUGAUUUGAAAGGUGCAAAUGCAUCACUAAGAGAUGGACCUGCGUUGUAUUAGCUAGUUGGUGAGGUAACGGCUCACCAAGGCGACGAUACAUAGCCGACCUGAGAGGGUGAUCGGCCACACUGGGACUGAGACACGGCCCAGACUCCUACGGGAGGCAGCAGUAGGGAAUCUUCGGCAAUGGGGGCAACCCUGACCGAGCAACGCCGCGUGAGUGAAGAAGGUUUUCGGAUCGUAAAGCUCUGUUGUAAGAGAAGAACGAGUGUGAGAGUGGAAAGUUCACACUGUGACGGUAACUUACCAGAAAGGGACGGCUAACUACGUGCCAGCAGCCGCGGUAAUACGUAGGUCCCGAGCGUUAUCCGGAUUUAUUGGGCGUAAAGCGAGCGCAGGCGGUUAGAUAAGUCUGAAGUUAAAGGCUGUGGCUUAACCAUAGUACGCUUUGGAAACUGUUUAACUUGAGUGCAGAAGGGGAGAGUGGAAUUCCAUGUGUAGCGGUGAAAUGCGUAGAUAUAUGGAGGAACACCGGUGGCGAAAGCGGCUCUCUGGUCUGUAACUGACGCUGAGGCUCGAAAGCGUGGGGAGCAAACAGG
rnacentral:rRNA from 1 species